UUUUGGCUAUUCAGAUCAAAAACAAGUUUCGCACAACUUGGCCAGAUUCCACCUUCUCUCCGGGAUCUCACUAGUUUGUCUUACAUCAAGCUUUCCCAGAACCAGAGCUCCACGGUCUGAUACCUCAUACCGGCAAAACGAGCACAGUUUCAGGCUCAAUCUGCUUUGCCUUUUGAAGGUAAUCUAGGACUCUGUGGUCUUCCACUAAGUGAACGUUGUGGAGAGCAAUUACAAGAGCCAGAACCAGAGGAAGUAAGAGUACUGAGCUGGACUGCAGCUGCCAUAGUCUUCGUACCCGGACUCAUCCUUGGGUUGACAACUGGGUACAUCGUGGCUACACAAAAGCCUCACUGGUUCAUGAGAUAUCUAGCGUGAUAAAGCUCGGAAGCAGAGGAUCCUGUUAGGUCACUUCAAUAGCAAAGUUUGAGAAGCUACAGCAAAAGAUACCCUAAAGUGAGGAGCAAUGACUAAGAAGUUGAGAUCUUUCCUCUCCCAAUACGCUUGGUUAUGUACGGUACAAGAAAUACUUUCUUCUUGUAGGCUUAUAUGCAUGCAGCUUCUUUAUUGAAAAAGAAAAUGAAUAAUAGAAUCGUUAUUGACCAUUUAAGAUUUGUUGAAUAGAUUUUUAAUAUA